CCUCACCCCUUUUCUCUCUCUCUUUCCCUUUCCUUGCAAACCCUGAAGCCGCCACCUACACUCUCUCUUGCCAAAAAUGGUAUUUUCACAAAGGACACAAAGGUUGCACAGCUUUUGCAUAACCAUUUGAGUGAAACAAUUAAUGUUUCUACUUCAAAUCCGCUUCUCUCACACCAAACACGAUAAUAACCCUUCUCUUUUUACCUUUUCUUUUAAAUUUUAAGUCAAACAUGCGAUUCUCUAAAUUUCUAUUGUUGUAUUUUGUUUAUAUUUACUCAAACUCAAAUCUCAUUGGUCAGGAGUGAAUCAGUUGGAUCGAAGAAAACAAGGCUCAAAUCGAGCCAUUCAUUGUUGAUCUAGGUUGAUCUAUACCAUAGGUUUUGUUUACAAAGGUUAAUGUAUGAAGAGAUCUGUUUGUCCCACAUCGGUACUCUUAAGUUUCUUUACAAUUUUGGGGUUCUAUAUCUCCAAGUUGAAAAAAAGGGAACAGAUGCGAAAAGCCCCAAAUUUUAAGUAAUAAAACUUGAGAUUAAGGCUUUCCUAGUCAAAAUUUUAAAACUUCGCUUUUAAGAGUUAAGUUCUCUAGUUUCAAAAUUUUAAUUUCUUUUUGUUGUGUGUGUUCGGCUGAGCUUGAUUUUGGAAGCGCAAAGAAGGCUCCAAGCCCAUUCUUUCUCCGGUUGCACCCCAAAAAGGCCCUACAGGCGUUUCUUUCAUGAUGCGAUCGAGUCCGAUGCAAGGAAAAAGGAAGCAAGUAUUAUAAAUAUAUAGAAGGCCAAGGCAUGGGUGAAAAUGGCCAAUUUGGAGUUUGGUACACCUCAAAUCUAUCUUUCUCUUUAUCUGUUUUGAUGUCAUUUUAUUUGUUUUAAUUAAACAUUGUGUGUAAACAGCUUGUAAAAACUCACAUGAUAUUGGAAUCAAUUAUGGUUUGAA